rnacentral:rRNA from 1 species
GAGUCAUUGGGACUAAUGUUAAACCUAAAGGCGCAAUGAAAGUAAAGGUCCGCCUCGCGCGGACCGAGGGAGGAUGGGCCCGCCCACGGGCGGGCCCCGCACUCCCGGGGCGUCUCGUUCUCAUCGCGAGAAGAGGCGCACCCAGAGCGUACACGCUGGGACCCGAAAGAUGGUGAACUAUGCCUGGUCAGGACGAAGUCAGGGGAAACCCUGAUGGAGGUCCGUAGCGAUUCUGACGUGCAAAUCGAUCGUCGGAACUGGGUAUAGG